UUUACAUUUUUUCUUCUUCUUCGAUU
rnacentral:sRNA from 1 species